UACGAAGGGGGCUAGCGUUGCUCGGAAUUACUGGGCGUAAAGGGUGCGUAGGCGGGUCUUUAAGUCAGGGGGUGAAAUCCUGGAGCUCAACUCCAGAACUGCCUUUGAUACUGAAGAUCUUGAGUUCGGGAGAGGUGAGUGGAACUGCGAGUGUAGAGGUGAAAUUCGUAGAUAUUCGCAAGAACACCAGUGGCGAAGGCGGCUCACUGGCCCGAUACUGACGCUGAGGCACGAAAGCGUGGGGAGCAAACAGG
rnacentral:rRNA from 1 species